rnacentral:rRNA from 1 species
UACAGAGGGUGCGAGCGUUGUUCGGAAUUAUUGGGCGUAAAGCGCGCGCAGGCGGGAUGGUAAGUCGGAUGUGAAAGCCCUCGGCUCAACCGAGGAAGUGCGUUCGAAACUACUGUUCUUGAGUGUCGGAGAGGGUGGCGGAAUUCCCGGUGUAGAAGUGAAAUUCGUAGAUAUCGGGAGGAACACCAGAGGCGAAGGCGGCCACCUGGACGAACACUGACGCUGAGGCGCGAAAGCGUGGGGAGCAAAACAGG